GUUUUUGGUGAGCGUGUGUAAGCCGGGCUCGUACGGACCGACAUUAUGUUUUUGGGGUCGUGCCAGGAUCAUAAUGCGUUGCGGUGUGCGAUGAGUUGGAAAGAAGUUUACAGAGAAUUAAUUAAGCAUGUCAGCAAAAAUGGUACGGAAAAAGGAUCAUUCUCAGAUCGGAAAAUCUAAAUCGUAGAAUGAAAGCUUACAAAUGGUUGCUUCUUGCGAGUGAAGUACGGAUGUUUACGCGAAAGCAUAAUCGCAUUUUGCUACACGAUACCGUUGCGUUUCGGUAGGCUCAGCAUUUUUAAUAUGGACUAAUACAGGAAAUGAAUAAUGGAAAGCAAAUUUACUAGAAAAUGUUUUUUUGAAACAAAAAACGUUGGCAAAUAUUGCAUUUACAGGAAAAAUAUAAAGAAAAAGAAAAAUAUAAGGCUUUUAUUUCAGUGAUGUAUGGUACACAGUGCAAUUAUUUAUUUUUUUUUUGGUAAUUAUUAACUAACGAUUGAUUUAACAGAAGCAUGGAUGUUGGUUAGGAAGCUUUUGCUAAGAGAAAGGAGAAAGUUAUGAAGUACAUCGCUCACUCUAAGGGUUUAGAUAUAUUAUUUUCUAACUUCAUUUCACAUCAAUAUUUCUAUAAUAUAUGUUGUUAAAUCCAACUUACUGCGUUCAACAUACUACAAAUUAAUAAUAACGAUGGAACAUUGUAUUUAACUUUUAUGAAAUUUUAUUAUUAUUCAUCAUAUUUCAUUAUAAAAGUUAUUAUAACAUGAUUGAAUUAAUCGAAUGUAAUAAACUAACUUCAUUUCAACAAUUCGCUUAUUCCUCAAACAUACUCCACGGUACCGUUCAAUUAUGAGAAGCGCCAGACGAAUCAUCGAAACAAAACCGAUCGUCAUAAAGAACCCCAGCUCCGGCGAGAAUUUCGCCUGCAACUUAAGUCAGCCAUCAAGCCAUUGUCAGUGUUUUGAAAUUCAAUUGGUCUCCCUAGAAUCGAAAUGGGGCACACCACCAGGGAGUAUAUGCUUUUACGGGCCAGUGUCGGAUGUUGGCUACGAGCAAAACAUUGCGCUUUUGGCAUUUGCCAUCAUAAUGGAUAUGCUUCUGUGCUGAUGUGGCUGAGCUAUGGGGCCCAACCCACUCCCACCCGUCCCUAAUCAGCUUUUACCACUUUCAGGUUUCUUCGGCUUUUGCAACCUUUCGUAGCGUAUCGGAACAACUGACCAUCGGCGGUAUGCAGCAAUCCAUCCCUGGUAUUGGAUGAAACAAACGGCUGAAGUAGUAAUACCACGUUCCCGGAUUCGUAUAGACAGCUUACGGUAACGAAUGUACUGAAAAUAUGAACCGAUUCUUCACCCUCUGGGGAAACAUGGAUUCUUCGUCGUUUUUUUUUUUUGUCUGAUCUACUUCAUCCUACCCGGGAGCGGAUUUUCGCUCGGAUGGUGGGAAUGGAUCCUGUCAAAGGGAAUUAUUCCACCAGGGCAAAUCCUGACGAUGAACCUCGAACUAGCAGCUUUGGCUAAUAGCUUCGAACCGAACAGUAUCUGUACGGUCAAAAUGCAAGCAACAUUUGAGACAGUGAAGGUAACGGAAUGGAUCAAUACGAAAAGCGGAAGAUAGCGAAAGCUAUCGGACGAGCAGAGUCAUAUUUGCUACAGGUUGGAUUGUUUGGCUGUUCGAUUUUAAUAAACAUUCUUUGUUUUCUCGAUAUUUCAUUUUAUGAUAGUCAUGAUGAUAUCCCAAAUUGGAAUUAUUUCUGCAUGAAUCUUUUUUUCUGCGCCAAAUAAAGAGUUCUUUAUAAUGAUUAUUUUCUGUCUAUGUAUAGCAAAAUAAAUGAAAAGGUACAUUUUCUGGACGACAAAAAAAAUAAUUUCUUCAGAUAGACCUAAAGAGACCUGGACCUGGUCGAAUAAUAAGUUGACAAACAUAGAUUCAGCAUUAAAAUAUAAACAUAGAAACAUGGAAUAAUCGUCAAGGGGCUGUCUAAAACUAUUUCUAAGCUACUCUAAUGUAUGCAAUUGGCUUUGAAAUUUUCAUUAUUGUCUGUACGAUAAAACUCUUACCAAAUAUUCCACAAUAAAGGAUUUAUUUACUGCUUGAAA